rnacentral:rRNA from 1 species
UACGAAGGGGGCUAGCGUUGUUCGGAAUUACUGGGCGUAAAGCGAACGUAGGCGGUGUUCCAUGUCAGAGGUGAAAGCCUGGGGCUCAACUCCAGAAUUGCCUUUGAAACGGGAACGCUUGAGUCCGAGAGAGGGUGGCGGAAUUCCUGGUGUAGCGGUGGAAUGCGCAGAUAUCAGGAGGAACACCGGUGGCGAAGGCGGGUCUCUGGGCAGUAACUGACGCUGAGGAGCGAAAGCGUGGGGAGCGAACAGG